AUGAACGCUGGCGGCGUGCCUAAUACAUGCCAGUCGAGCGAACAGACGAGGAGCUUGCUCCUCUGACGUUAGCGGCGGACGGGUGAGUAACACGUGGAUAACCUACCUAUAAGACUGGGAUAACUUCGGGAAACCGGAGCUAAUACCGGAUAAUAUAUUGAACCGCAUGGUUCAAUAGUGAAAGACGGUUUUGCUGUCACUUAUAGAUGGAUCCGCGCCGCAUUAGCUAGUUGGUAAGGUAACGGCUUACCAAGGUAACGAUGCGUAGCCGACCUGAGAGGGUGAUCGGCCACACUGGAACUGAGACACGGUCCAGACUCCUACGGGAGGCAGCAGUAGGGAAUCUUCCGCAAUGGGCGAAAGCCUGACGGAGCAACGCCGCGUGAGUGAUGAAGGUCUUCGGAUCGUAAAACUCUGUUAUUAGGGAAGAACAAAUGUGUAAGUAACUAUGCACGUCUUGACGGUACCUAAUCAGAAAGCCACGGCUAACUACGUG
rnacentral:rRNA from 1 species